CACGGGAGCAAUCCUGGUGGCGAGUGGCGAACGGGUGAGUAAUAUAGUCGGAACGUGCCCGGUCGUGGGGGAUAACGUAGCGAAAGCUACGCUAAUACCGCAUACGAUCUACGGAUGAAAGCGGGGGAUCGCAAGACCUCGCGCGAUUGGAGCGGCCGAUAUCAGAUUAGGUAGUUGGUGAGGUAAAGGCUCACCAAGCCGACGAUCUGUAGCUGGUCUGAGAGGACGACCAGCCACACUGGGACUGAGACACGGCCCAGACUCCUACGGGAGGCAGCAGUGGGGAAUUUUGGACAAUGGGCGCAAGCCUGAUCCAGCAAUGCCGCGUGCAGGAUGAAGGCCUUCGGGUUGUAAACUGCUUUUGUACGGAACGAAACGGUGAGCUCUAAUACAGUUUGCUAAUGACGGUACCGUAAGAAUAAGCACCGGCUAACUACGUG
rnacentral:rRNA from 1 species